AGUGAACGCUGGCGGUAGGCCUAACACAUGCAAGUCGAACGGCAGCACAGUAAGAGCUUGCUCUUACGGGUGGCGAGUGGCGGACGGGUGAGGCAUACAUCGGAAUCUACUUUUUCGUGGGGGAUAACGUAGGGAAACUUACGCUAAUACCGCAUACGACCUACGGGUGGAAGCAGGGGAUCUUCGCACCUUGCGCGAUUGAAUGAGCCGAUGUCGGAUUAGCUAGUUGGCGGGGUAAAGGCCCACCAAGGCGACGAUACGUAGCUGGUCUGAGAGGAUGAUCAGCCACACUGGAACUGAGACACGGUCCAGACUCCUACGGGAGGCAGCAGUGGGGAAUCUUGGGCAAUGGGCGCAAGCCUGAUCCAGCCAUGCCGCGUGGGUGAAGAAGGCCUUCGGGUUGUAAAGCCCUUUUGUUGGGAAAGAAAAGCAGCAGGUUAAUACCCCGCUGUUCUGACGGUACCCAAAGAAUAAGCACCGGCUAACUUCGUG
rnacentral:rRNA from 1 species